rnacentral:rRNA from 1 species
UACGUAGGUGGCAAGCGUUAUCCGGAAUUAUUGGGCGUAAAGGGUGCGCAGGCGGCCGAUUAAGUUUAAGGUGAAAGUUCGGGGCUCAACUCCGAAUAGCCUUAGAAACUGGUUGGCUCGAGUAUUGGAGAGGUGAGUGGAAUUCCAUGUGUAGCGGUAAAAUGCGUAGAGAUAUGGAGGAACACCAGUGGCGAAGGCGGCUCACUGGCCAAAUACUGACGCUGAGGCACGAAAGCGUGGGGAGCAAAUA